GAUGAACGCUGGCGGCGUGCUUAACACAUGCAAGUCGAACGAAGCAUUUGCGACAGAUUUUUUCGGAAUGAAGAUGCUUAUGACUGAGUGGCGGACGGGUGAGUAACGCGUGGGUAACCUGCCUUGUACUGGGGGAUAGCAGCUGGAAACGGCUGGUAAUACCGCAUAAGCGCACAAUGUUGCAUGACAUGGUGUGAAAAACUCCGGUGGUAUAAGAUGGACCCGCGUCUGAUUAGCUAGUUGGUGAGAUAACAGCCCACCAAGGCGACGAUCAGUAGCCGACAUGAGAGGGUGACCGGCCACAUUGGGACUGAGACACGGCCCAGACUCCUACGGGAGGCAGCAGUGGGGAAUAUUGCACAAUGGAGGAAACUCUGAUGCAGCGACGCCGCGUGAGUGAAGAAGUAAUUCGUUAUGUAAAGCUCUAUCAGCAGGGAAGAUAGUGACGGUACCUGACUAAGAAGCUCCGGCUAAAUACGUG
rnacentral:rRNA from 1 species